GACGAACGCUGGCGGCGUGCUUAACACAUGCAAGUCGAACGGAAAGGCCUGUCCUUCCUUGUGUUGGACGGGUACUCGAGUGGCGAACGGGUGAGUAACACGUGAGUGAUCUGCCCCCAACUUGGGUAUAAGCCUGGGAAACUGGGUCUAAUUCCCGAUAGGACUGCAGGGUGGUGCCUGUGGUGGAAAACGAUUUUCUAGUGGUUGGGGAUAAGCUCGCGGCCUAUCAGCUUGUUGGUGGGGUAAUGGCCUACCAAGGCGGCGACGGGUAGCCGGCCUGGGAGGGUGGACGGCCACAUUGGGACUGGGAUACGGCCCAGACUCCUACGGGAGGCAGCAGUGGGGAAUAUUGCACAAUGGGCGGAAGCCUGAUGCAGCGACGCCGCGUGGGGGAUGACGGCCUUCGGGUUGUAAACUCCUUUCGACCGCGAGGAAGCCGCCUGGUUGGAAGGGUGGUGACGGUAGUGGUAGAAGAAGCACCGGCUAACUACGUG
rnacentral:rRNA from 1 species